UGACGGUAUCAUAUGAAUAAGCACCGGCUAACUCCGUGCCAGCAGCCGCGGUAAUACGGGGGGUGCAAGCGUUACUCGGAAUCACUGGGCGUAAAGAGCAUGUAGGCGGGUGAAUAAGUUGGAAGUGAAAUCCUAUAGCUUAACUAUAGAACUGCUUCCAAAACUGUUCACCUAGAGUAUGGGAGAGGUAGAUGGAAUUUCUGGUGUAGGGGUAAAAUCUGUAGAGAUCAGAAGGAAUACCGAUUGCGAAGGCGAUCUACUGGAACAUUACUGACGCUCAGAUGCGAAAGCGUGGGGAGCAAACAGGAUUAGAUACCCUGGUAGUCCACGCCCUAAACGAUGUACACUAGUUGUUGCUAUACUAGAUAUGGCAGUAAUGCAGUUAACACUUUAAGUGUACCGCCUGGGGAGUACGGUCGCAAGAUUAAAACUCAAAGGAAUAGACGGGGACCCGCACAAGCGGUGGAGCAUGUGGUUUAAUUCGACGAUACGCGAAAAACCUUACCUGGCCUUGACAUAGUAGGAAUCUUUAAGAGAUUAGAGAGUGCUAGCUUGCUAGAACCUACAUACAGGUGCUGCACGGCUGUCGUCAGC
rnacentral:rRNA from 1 species